GCCGAGAUGGUGAAGCUGGUAAACACGAGAGACUUAAAAUCUCUUGCCCUCCAGGGCUCGCGGGUUCGAAUCCCGCUCUCGGCA
rnacentral:tRNA from 1 species